rnacentral:rRNA from 1 species
ANCGCUGGCGGCGUGCCUCAUACAUGCAAGUCGAACGCGAAAGUAACCUUCGGGUUGCGAUUAGAGUGGCAGACGGGUGAGUAACGCGUGGGUGACCUACCUUCGAGUGGGGGACAACCCCUGUAAUGGGGGCUAAUACCGCAUAACAUCCUGUUCUUAGAUGGACAGUGAUCAAAGCUGGCCAAGCUUCGGCUUGGCUGGUGCUUGUUGACGGACCCGCGUCCGAUUAGCUUGUUGGUGGGGUAAUGGCUCACCAAGGCUUCGAUCGGUAGCCGGCCUGAGAGGGCGGACGGCCACACUGGGACUGAGACACGGCCCAGACUCUUACGGGAGGCAGCAGUAGGGAAUUGUUCGCAAUGGGCGAAAGCCUGACGACGCAACGCCGCGUGGAGGAUGAAGAUCUUCGGGUUGUAAACUCCUGUCGGGAGGGAAGAAUAGCUUGUGGGUUAAUACCCCAUAGGCCUGACGGUACCUCUAGAGGAAGCCCCGGCUAACUCCGUGCCAGCAGCCGCGGUAAUACGGGGGGGGCGAGCGUUGUUCGGAUUUACUGGGCGUAAAGGGCUUGUAGGCGGUGGUCUAUGUCGGUUGUGAAAUCCCCAGGCUCAACCUGGGAACUGCAGCCGAAACUGGGUCACUAGAAGCCGGGAGAGGGAUGCGGAAUUCCAGGUGUAGCGGUGAAAUGCGUAGAUAUCUGGAGGAACACCCGUGGCGAAGGCGGCAUCCUGGACCGGUCUUGACGCUGAGGAGCGAAAGCUAGGGUAGCAAACGGGAUUAGAUACCCCGGUAGUCCUAGCCCUAAACGAUGAAUGCUUGGUGUGGCGGGUAUCGAUCCCUGCCGUGCCGGAGUUAACGCGUUAAGCAUUCCGCCUGGGGAGUA